UGGAAUCUUUGUCUUAUUGAGACACACAAUCAACAAGAGGGAGAAGAAUGUUGCGUCUCAUAGAAAGAGCUUCGUGGGAAGAAAACAAAGAGUGUGCUUUUGUUCAAAGCUAAGAGAAAAGGGAUUUUUGUUCAUGAUGCAGCUACAGAUGGUUCUUGUCAUGAGAAAGAAAGAUGAAUCAAAGAAUGCUGAAGGAGAAGAUUGAUGCAUUCUUAAUUAGAUCAAGUAAAAGUUUGGAGAAACACAGUGAACAACAACGUAUUUCAAUCUUAGAAUGAAGGAAGCUUGUGGAAGAAAAAAUUAUAUAGAUUGACAUCAUUGUUAGUUCCGGUUGAGAAAGUUUUGUUUGUAGAAGC
rnacentral:lncRNA from 1 species